GAUGAACGCUGGCGGCGUGCUUAACACAUGCAAGUCGAACGGGAAAUACUUUAUUGAAACUUCGGUGGAUUUAAUUUAUUUCUAGUGGCGGACGGGUGAGUAACGCGUGGGUAACCUGCCUUAUACUGGGGGAUAACAGCCAGAAAUGACUGCUAAUACCGCAUAAGCGCACAGAACCGCAUGGUUCGGUGUGAAAAACUCCGGUGGUAUAAGAUGGACCCGCGUUGGAUUAGCUAGUUGGCAGGGCAGCGGCCUACCAAGGCGACGAUCCAUAGCCGGCCUGAGAGGGUGAACGGCCACAUUGGGACUGAGACACGGCCCAGACUCCUACGGGAGGCAGCAGUGGGGAAUAUUGCACAAUGGGGGAAACCCUGAUGCAGCGACGCCGCGUGAAGGAAGAAGUAUCUCGGUAUGUAAACUUCUAUCAGCAGGGAAGAUAAUGACGGUA
rnacentral:rRNA from 1 species